rnacentral:rRNA from 1 species
GUGUCAGCCGCCGCGGUAAUACGAAGGGGGCUAGCGUUGUUCGGAAUUACUGGGCGUAAAGCGCGCGUAGGCGGAUUGGUCAGUCAGGGGUGAAAUCCCGGGGCUUAACCUCGGAACUGCCUUUGAUACUGCCAGUCUCGAGUCCGGAAGAGGUGAGUGGAAUUCCUAGUGUAGAGGUGAAAUUCGUAGAUAUUAGGAAGAACACCGGUGGCGAAGGCGACUCACUGGUCCGGUACUGACGCUGAGGCGCGAAAGCGUGGGGAGCAAACAGGAUUAGAUACCCUGGUAGUCCACGCCGUAAACGAUGGAUGCUAGCCGUCGGCAGGCAUGCCUGUCGGUGGCGCAGCUAACGCAGUAAGCAUUCCGCCUGGGGAGUACGGUCGCAAGAUUAAAACUUAAAUGAAUUGGCGGGG